rnacentral:rRNA from 2 species
UACGGAGGGAGCUAGCGUUGUUCGGAAUUACUGGGCGUAAAGCGUACGUAGGCGGCUAUUCAAGUCAGAGGUGAAAGCCCGGGGCUCAACCCCGGAACUGCCUUUGAAACUAGGUAGCUAGAGUCUUGGAGAGGUUAGUGGAAUUCCGAGUGUAGAGGUGAAAUUCGUAGAUAUUCGGAAGAACACCAGUGGCGAAGGCGACUAACUGGACAAGUACUGACGCUGAGGUACGAAAGCGUGGGGAGCAAACAGG